rnacentral:rRNA from 1 species
UGAGACACGGUCCAAACUCCUACGGGAGGCAGCAGUGAGGAAUAUUGGUCAAUGGUCGGCAGACUGAACCAGCCAAGUCGCGUGAGGGAAGACGGCCCUACGGGUUGUAAACCUCUUUUGUCGGAGAGUAAAGUACGCUACGCGUAGUGUAUUGCAAGUAUCCGAAGAAAAAGCAUCGGCUAACUCCGUGCCAGCAGCCGCGGUAAUACGGAGGAUGCAAGCGUUAUCCGGAUUUAUUGGGUUUAAAGGGUGCGUAGGCGGCACGCCAAGUCAGCGGUGAAAUUUCCGGGCUCAACCCGGACUGUGCCGUUGAAACUGGCGAGCUAGAGUACACAAGAGGCAGGCGGAAUGCGUGGUGUAGCGGUGAAAUGCAUAGAUAUCACGCAGAACCCCGAUUGCGAAGGCAGCCUGCUAGGGUGAAACAGACGCUGAGGCACGAAAGCGUGGGUAUCGAACAGGAUUAGAUACCCUGGUAGUCCACGCAGUAAACGAUGAAUACUAACUGUUUGCGAUACAAUGUAAGCGGUACAGCGAAAGCGUUAAGUAUUCCACCUGGGGAGUACGCCGGCAACGGUGAAACUCAAAGGAAUUGACGGGGGCCCGCACAAGCGGAGGAACAUGUGGUUUAAUUCGAUGAUACGCGAGGAACCUUACCCGGGCUCAAACGCAGGGGGAAUGUCGGUGAAAGCCGGCAGCUAGUAAUAGUCACCUGCGAGGUGCUGCAUGGUUGUCGUCAGCUCGUGCCGUGAGGUGUCGGCUUAAGUGCCAUAACGAGCGCAACCCCUAUGGACAGUUACUAACGGGUGAAGCCGAGGACUCUGUCUAGACUGCCGGCGCAAGCCGCGAGGAAGGUGGGGAUGACGUCAAAUCAGCACGGCCCUUACGUCCGGGGCGACACACGUGUUACAAUGGCAGGUACAGAAGGCAGCCAGUCAGCAAUGACGCGCGAAUCCCGAAAACCUGUCUCAGUUCGGAUUGGAGUCUGCAACCCGACUCCAUGAAGCUGGAUUCGCUAGUAAUCGCGCAUCAGCCAUGGCGCGGUGAAUACGUUCCCGGGCCUUGUACACACCGCCCGUCAAGCCAUGGAAGCCGGGAGUACCUGAAGCAUGCAACCGCAAGGAGCGUACGAAGGUAAUACCGGUAACUGGGGCUAAGUCGUAACAAGGUAGCCGUACCGGAAGGUGCGGCUG